UCUAGAACUCCAGAUAUGGGUAAACGUUUGAGCAGUGUUUGGGCUGGAUUGCAGGACAGAUUCUGGCUUCUCUUUUGUGGCCAAAUUUUAGAUUUGAAAACGGCAGAUUUGGGUCUUUCACAUGAACAUUGUAGGCCUAUUUAUUAUCUUUCUAUC
rnacentral:pre_miRNA from 1 species